rnacentral:rRNA from 1 species
AACGAACGCUGGCAGCAUGCCUAACACAUGCAAGUCGAACGGGAUCCUGGCUUCGGUCAGGUGAGAGUGGCGGACGGGUGAGUAACGCGUGGGAACCUGCCCAGUGGUGGGGGAUAACUGCGGGAAACUGCAGCUAAUACCGCAUGAGCCCGAGAGGGGAAGGAUUUAUCGCCAUUGGAGGGGCCCGCGUUCGAUUAGGUAGUUGGUGAGGUAACGGCUCACCAAGCCGACGACCGAUAGCUGGUCUGAGAGGAUGAUCAGCAACACUGGGACUUAGAUACGGCCCAGACUCCUACGGGAGGCAGCAGUGGGGAAUAGUGGACAAUGGGGGCAACCCUGAUCCAGCAAUGCCGCGUGAGUGAUGAAGGCCUUCGGGUUGUAAAGCUCUUUUGCCAGGGACGAUGAUGACGGUACCUGGAGAAUAAGCCCCGGCUAACUUCGUGCCAGCCGCCGCCGUAACAC